GGACUAACUAUUAAAGUACUAAAAACUUUAUGUAAUCAUGGACACAUAAGUUAGAUAGAUAGAUAUAUGCAAAGUCUUUGACUUUUAUUUACAACUAUUUUAGUCAAAAUAUGACAUAAAGAGAAUUUUAAACAAAAUUGUAACUCGAAUAAUUCAGUGCCCUCUAUCCACUACUUUUCUCGUUAAUGGAGUGAUCGUAGUGAUCGUAAUAUAAUUAUGACUGGAUUCUUCUGGUUAACAAAAAUGGAGAAAAUUGUAUGGUUUUGAAUCUACUUAGUGAGACAUCAGAUGCAUGAAAGAACCCAAGUGAACCUUUGUAAUAUCAAAUUUAUCAUGUUUAAUACACUAACAUGUGAAUUGAAAAAUUUGAUUUACAGUUCAAAAUUCAGUUAAAAAGUUUGGUUCUUUUCGCAUAUAUUCUUUACCUUCUCAGAGGACUAAGUAGUAAAGAAACAUAUUAUUAAGGUCUAUAUUCAUG
rnacentral:lncRNA from 1 species